rnacentral:sRNA from 1 species
UUUUUUGAGACAAGUUCUUUUCCUGAGCCUGGGGCUUGUCAAUUUGUCUUACCUGACUGGCCUGCUUGCUCUUGGAAUCCUCCUGUUUCUGACUCCCAGGUUAGGGGCCCACUUCACCAUGCCUGCUUUUAUCCAGGUGAGAGGGACACAAACUCAGAUUCUCAUGCUUGCACAGAAAAUGCUUUUCCCACUGAGUCAUCUCCCCAGCCUCCGUAGAAACCAGCAUUUACUGCAGUGCAGUAGUUAAAUGUGGUGUUUUCCGAAGUUAGAUAAGACUUAGUCUCGGGCUGAUAUGCUCAGGUCAAUAGCUAUGCGAUUUUAGAAAAAUUCAAUUUUUCCAUUUUCCAUUAUUUCAUCACCCUUAAAACUGCUCCCAGGGUAAUAACUCCGGCACGGACUGUCCUGGAGGUUAAACACACUUGAACUGUUGGUUAGUAAGAGCUGCUGUAGCUGGGCACGCUAUGCCACAUUCUUCCAAAACAAUCAGCCACAGGGGAAGGGAAUCAAAGUCCCUCGGUGUCACAGAGAAAAACAAGUUAAGCAAAGUAUUUGCAUUUAGCUGUCCCGGUCUCAUGAGCACCUUGCUCUGAUGCGGGUCGAGCAUCCGUGAAGAAAAGAGGCCUUGUCAGCUCUUUGCCAACUCAAGGCUCAUAGUCCAUUGCAUUUACUAACACAGGGAGCUGACGUCACUUGCUGCCUUCUGGUUUCCGGAGGGUCCACGGCAGCUUGGGAUGUUUCUAGUGUCCUAUAAGGGAUUGGGGUAGCAAUGGCAGAUGCAGGCACGGGCAGUAUGUUACUUACCCCCUCUGGUGUUUGCUGAACAUUUAUCAGCUUUGCAGCUCAGGAGCCCGUGGCGUUUAGGUUUGCCCUAACUUUGACCUUCAUAGGAUUCAUGUUUGAUUCAAGAUAGAUCUCUGCUAAUAAGGCUCCCUCGACCUCAGGGUGCCCUUGUUGAAUUUACAAAUUGAGUAAAUUCUUCUCUCUCUUAAAAGAGUUUGUGUGCAGUCUUUUGACACCAGACAGCAAACAAAACAAGAGCCAGAGGGUACCAGUUACAAAUUAAAAGAUCUGAAACCUAACUAAAAUGGGCUGAGCCCUCACAGCGGGCCCGGCAGUGGCCCACGGAAUCUUCCCAACAGUCCCCUUAAAAAGAUUCUCUUUUAAUCCCGAUUUAACUGGGGGGAAACCUGAAGGACAGACAGAUUGAAUCAUUUGUUACCCAGCUAUCGAAUGGUGAGAUUGGGAUUUAAUCGGUUACGGCGUGGCACUAGGACAAGACAGGAAUAAACUAUGCCUCUGGGAAAGAUGCGCAUUGCAUGGAUCCACUGCGUGAAGAACAUCUGGAAAGGGCCAGAGAGAACACAUCACAUCAUUCCUGUCAUCCUUGUCAACACUGCCAUCCCCGAUGCUGAUGCGGUCCUCCUCCCUGGGUGUGGUACAGGCAUGCAAUCUUGACGUUCAGGAUGGUGAGGGAGAACUGCUUUCUCCUGACCUCAAUCUUUUCAGCCUCUUAUGUAAGGGCUUGGCUUGAAUGCAGAGUGAAAAGAUGGUCCUGUGCUGUUCUGACUGGUGCGUCGUGUCUCUAAAUAAACAUGCUAAACGAUCA